rnacentral:rRNA from 1 species
CAGCAGCCGCGGGAAUACGUAGGUGGCAAGCGUUGUCCGGAAUUAUUGGGCGUAAAGGGCUCGCAGGCGGUUUCUUAAGUCUGAUGUGAAAGCCCCCGGCUCAACCGGGGAGGGUCAUUGGAAACUGGGAAACUUGAGUGCAGAAGAGGAGAGUGGAAUUCCACGUGUAGCGGUGAAAUGCGUAGAGAUGUGGAGGAACACCAGUGGCGAAGGCGACUCUCUGGCCUGUAACUGACGCUGAGGAGCGAAAGCGUGGGGAGCGAACAGGAUUAGAUACCCCGGUAGUCCCUGUCUCUUAACC